rnacentral:lncRNA from 1 species
CGUGGCGUCGUGCGUGAACGCAGUGCGAUUUGGGAUCUGUAAGAAGAAGUUUUCUGGGGUGAUGCAACAGAUUGCCACCGAAGCGUUGAAGGGGGGUUGUGUUAGAGCGAAACUUGCAGAACGACAAGCAGGGCGAGGAAGUCCUGACCUACUUCUGGGUAUGUGCUGCACAUCCUUCCUUGUGGGUCAGUUCUCACGGUUUACGGCGAUUUAUGAAAUCUAUGGCAAGUAAAGGCAUGGUCCGUGUAAGUCUCGGUUUGGCACUUGAAAAAACGCAUCGAAUGCAAGCCUGUUUCAGAAUGGCAGUUUACAGUGAUAAAAUAGCGGAUUCUCACGCGAUCCCUCCGAUGUCUCACUAAAUGGAUCAAGCAAUUUUAUAAACAGCCAUUUAUUUUUCAGCAGGGAGAUCUCGAAGACCAACAACGACCAGAGUGCGAUGAGGCUCAUGCUUCUAAUUUUCCAGUUCACAAUGACGACGUACACAAAUACCAAAAAACAAUUCUCGACAAUUUAAGAUUUUUGUAUCAUUGAAAAAUAAAUGGCUGAUUUUAAUAUGCCCAGUAAUCUUUUUAAAAAUAAAAAUGGAAAAGUCAAACAGAAAAAAAAGGCUUUCCAUUUUUUUACUAAUUUUUUUACAUCAAA